UCUGGCCGGGAACCAAAAUCCUGCUUCAAGCCGCUGCAGGCCGAGGCGACCCGGAAUCAGGACUAAAUGGUGAAAACACCCACUGACACAUAGACACAAAGAAAAGGUGUCUGACACGAGGGCAUCUUAGAGGAGGAAAGAGGGAAAUAACAUUUAUUGGGUCCCAGGUGGUCUGCAAACAUUACUUCAUUUACUCUUCAUAAGAAUCCUAGAUCGUAGAUAGCUUUUAUCAGUUUAUAGAAAUGGGGGUCCAGAGGUUAAGCAGGAACCCCAAUGUCACACAACUUGUAAGUGGGGGAGUCAGCAUUCGCACCCACGACUCACUCCGCAGCCACCUUCCGGCUCUAUCAGGGAGUGUUCCGAACCACCACUCCGGCCCUGUGUCCGCGGCUGAGGACACACUUUCUCACCAAAUCCAGGGCAGCCUCGGUGCUCUUCUACAUAUAGUCGGUCACUCUGGAUCUGCAGGGUGGGUGUGCAAACCAGGCCUGUGGGCUAUCCCAGCACCAUUCCAGCUGCCUUCCCAUCGGCCAUCAUGGGCUCUUUGUGCUGACUCAGGUGUGUCUUAGGGCCCAGCUCCCCCUGCAAUGCUGACGCUGGGCUCAGGUAGGCGGUGCCAGGUGUAUGACAGGAUUCCUGGGAAGGUUUAUCAUUGAUGCGGGGCACUUUUUCAUUAGCGGUGCGUACAUUUGAGUCAGUCAUUCCCCUCUCCUCUGUUAAACGUUAGUUCCUCUGGGAUAGGUGACAUCCAUACUUUACUGCAAAUUUAUUUUCUGGGUCACUUUUUCUUUGUCCAGUUUUUUCUUUUCCAGUUGUCUGGGGACAUUGGCUGAAACCCAAAGCCUAGAACAAUAGGUGAUCUCCCUUGCCCCCCUCCCCAACUUCCUCACCCCCUCACCUCCACCAACCCACACAUUUUAAAGAGAGGUGCUAGACCAUCCGUGACGAGCUUGCUAAGAAGUAUUCAAACCGGUCCUGCAACUUCUGGUCUUAGCACAUCACCCACCUCCAACCUAGAUCUAAGAGAAGUCUAAAGAAUGUUCAGAGCGCUGAGGAUUUCUUUAAUGAGAAGGAAGGUGUGCAGCCAAACCCCAUGUGGCUUCGUUAAACUAUUUCUUGGGCAUGGCAUAAUUUCCAUAGUUUGUUGGGCCAGGGCCGGAAUGUUUCCUUGGGGUCCGAGGUGACAUGACUGACACCUUGGGAGAUAGCUAGGCUCGAGGGUCUUGAAAGCUCCCCAACUCAAGAUUUCUGCCUGCUCAGGAAGGGACACCCCAGUACAAAGUGCCUCUGUGGGCUGAACUUUCAAGCAGGAGCUAAGGGAUGUUUGUAGAAAGUUAGCUGCAGAGGGCAUCACCCAUGUCGCCUGGAUCAGGGAAUGGGGCAGUGCUGCGGGAUCCUCAGCAAGGGGUCUUCAGGAACCCACUCAAGGCCCCCUUGAAGAAUAGGGGAAAAGUCUGCCUGUAGACAACUGAGUCUGUGCUCUCAGCAGACCCACGCUCGCCCUCCCCAGAGCAGGUUCCUGCCCUGAGUCUCCUGUGGCAGCUGCAGAUGUCAGGAAAGGCAGCCCUUCCCAGGACCCAACCUCAGGAGGGCCCUGGUCCUAGGGCUCCCUGGCGUGUCUCUGUGGGGAACCAUCUUUUCCUGAUCAUGUAGGGAACUCAUGCCUAGCAUGGUGUCUGGCACACAGAAGACUUUCGAUAGAUGUUUGGAUAAAUUCAGCAACUUGUUCAAAUCACAGAUCUAGCAAGGGGCAAAGUGACCAAUGGCCCCCCAAAUACAUCUAGGUCUUAAUCCCUGCAACCUGUGAAUGUCACUUUCCUAAUAUGGCAAAAAGGGCUUUGUCAUAAUCCAGAUGUGAUUAAGUUAAAUUUAAUCCAGAUGUGGUUAAGGAUCUCAAGAUAGGAAGAGUAGCCACGAUUAUCCAGGUGGGCUCCAAAUGCAAUCACAUGUAUCCUUUUAAGGGGAAGGCAGAGGGAAAUUUGACACACAGAAAAGAGAAGGCGAUGUGACCAGAAGGUGGAGAUUGGAGUGAUGCGGUCACAAGCCAGUGAAUGCCACCGGAAGCUGGAAGAGGCGAGAUGAUGGAUUCUUUCCUUCCUUCGAGGCUCUGGACAGAGUGCCACCUUCUCAAUUCCUUGAUUCCAGCCCAGGGACACAGAUUUCAGAACUUUGGUUUCCAGAACCACAAGAGAAUAAAUUUCUAUUGUUUGAAACGACCCAGUUUACGGCAAUUCGAUACGGCAGCCACAGGAAAUUGAUACACCAGGUUUGGGCGAUGGCCCAGGAACACCUUAGAGUCUGCAGUCCUCUGGUCUCUGCCACCUAGAAGGUCAAGAAGGGGUUCCUACGGGCCCCUGUGCCUGCAGCAGAGACAGAGGAGGAGGCGGAGAUGCACUGGGGUUGGUCUGAAAGAAGAGUUUUAAAAAACAGUCUAUAGACUCCCAGGAAUCAGAAGUUGAAAGCCAUCCAUCCAGAAACGCUUAUUAUGCACGUGCUGUGUGGCAGACCUGCUGGGACUACAGAUUUAAGAAGACUUGGAAUUGGGUGUGGGUGGAUUCAUGCUGUUGAGGAUGAGGCGAGGGGGUCCCGGGACUGGGCUGCGGGCUGGAGCCGCGGGGGGCGGAGGAAGCCCGAGGCCUGUCCUGCUGGCCCUGCUAAGGGGGCAGGUGCCUGGCCAGGAAGGGCCUGGAAUCUCCUUCACCUGAAAGCAGACGCAAGGAGUGUGCGUCCCAAGGUGGGUGUUUGGUUCAGGUUUCUCAGGAAGUCAAGGCAGUGGUGGUGGAGGAAAGUGGCCUGGAUUUCUGUCUGACCUGGAAGGAAGUGUGCGGGGUGAAGCGUGGAGAGGCCAACCUCCAGGGGGACUGUGAGGCCUGCAGCCAAGGUGUGGGGCGCAGGGGAAACAGGCGGAGGCUGCCAGCCACGGAGCUCAUGGCCCGUGUCUCCAGGGACAGAGACGGGGCUCCUGGAGCUGUGGUUUGGGGUCACUUUUGGGUCUGCUUGGCCCGAGGGAAGGGAGUGCUGCCCCUGCAGACAGAGGGACCUCUGGGCCUUGCCACUACUGCUGGGCGUUGACCUUGGGCCUGAGGGUUUGUGGACCUUGGUUGUCACGUGACACUGCAACCUGGGGCUGAGAAUGUACGUGACCUCUUCUGGGAGGCCGUCCGUGGGCACACCAGACUGGAGGGCUCCACUGGCCCAACUCACAUGAUCGGCCGAGAGGGGCCACGACAGCAUCUUCAAUUUUAUGGAAGAAACAGAGCUCAAGGAAGAGGGAGGGCGUCCUACCAAAUCAGGAAGAGACAAAAAGGGGGAGGUUAGCCAGGAAGGGGGGGGGCUGGGAUACUGGUCAGCGCCCAGUAGCUGGAACAUUCCAGCACUUUUCUGAAAGAGAGCUCCCUCAGGGAGAGAAGUCUCAUUCUGUUCAGUUUUUGAGGGGGGCACUUUGAGAGCGUGACAUGGUGAAGACAGUCCCUGCUUCUGUGGUGGUGGGGCUCUCGGCCUCUCCUCUUUUCUCGUCUCUCAGCUUCUCUUUGUCUUUUUUCCCUUCCUGUCUCCUCUCCCUUCUCCCCUUUUCUUCUCCCAUCCUUUCUUUGUGAAUGGCUCCUAGACUCUUCCUGUCUCUCUUUCUGUCCCGUGCUGUGUCUGCAUCGAUCACAGCCCCCUGAACACACACACACAUUCACACACACACACACACACACACACACACACACACACACACACACACACACACACAGAGUCUGGCUUUAUUCGGAUCACCUCCGCUAAUGGGCCAGCCAGGACAUCACCGGAAGCACCUGUGCUCUGACACGGCCCAAGCACAUUUUUUCUAUUUUCUCAUUUAUACUUCCUCAUUCACAUUUUCCUUUCUGCAGGUUUGCUUACAACGUUAUCUGAGACUUUCUGGCCCCUUCACGUUUCUUCAUCUAUUUUUAUCAGCAAGCACCCAAACUUAUUCCUGGUGCCUCCCCGCCCCCACGCAGCCUGAAGAGAAGGCUCAGCUCCCUGGGGCCCAGGAGGGUCAAGAGGCUGCUGGGGGAUGGGCAGCAGGCAGAGAGGUCUGGCUCCUCACCUGGACUCCUGAGAAGCCAGUCAAACAGGAGGAGAUGAUAGUCUCCCCUCUGCUCUUAGCCUCCCCGGAGCUGCUCCCUCCUGAAGUCCAGGAGCCCUUCUGGAAGCAGGAGAAGAAUUCCCACAUGGAGGUUACAGAGUUCCCCAUUAGCACAUGAUUUAAAGCUGGGAUACCAGAGGGGCAGUCCAGGUCCCGCUUCUAUUCCUGGUGACCCCUGGCAAGUCACAUGAUCCCUUAGAACCUCAGUAUUUUUAGUCUGGAAAUCAGGCAUUUUAGUUUGCUCUACCUACUGCACAAAGGGGUCUGCGUUGUGAGCUACCUGUAAGGGUGACGACAACAAAGACAAGGGUGAUGUUGAUGACAGCACUUGCCACAGACUGUGUGCCAGGCCCUAUCGUAGGUGCCUUAAUGUAUGAACUCACUUCAUCCUACAACAACCUCAGAAGUGCGUACUGUUAUCAUCUCUGUUUUACAGACGAGGAAAUGGAGGUGCAGAGAGGUUAAGCUACUUGUCCAAGGUUACACAGCUGGUAAGCAGCUGAGCUGGGAUUCAAACUCAGCAGUCUGGCCCCAGACCUCACACCCCUGUGACUGAGACUUCCAUGGUCUGGAAGAACAAUGUUACUCCCUCUCUCCCAGUACGACAACAAGUGCCCAGGGGGAGGGGAUCCAGUUUGCAGAAGUGGUCGUCCAGGUCCUGAGAGCGUGUGGCCAUCUCCACCUUGGCCAUCUCCUGAGGGCGACGCAGUCACUGCGCGGAAGGGGGGCGCUGCUCCAGGGCUUCAGUAACCUUCUGUGUUUUUUCAGUACAGUCUCUUCAGGCUUUGUUACCACAAUACAUUUAUUUUUGGAGUAUUACUAUUACCAGUUUGACACCGCAGCCCUCUUAUUUGUCAGCCCCAUUCUUUCUGGUUUAUGUUUAAGUGUGUUGUGUGUUGACUCCACUGCUGCUAUCUUUGCUUCUUUUCUAAAAACGGUAUUCGAGUGGGAAGCACUGUGUAUUCACUCACUUCUUCAGCAGACGUGACUUCCGUGUAAGGACGCUGUGCUGAUUGCUCUGGGGGACAUCAAAGAUGAAGUCAGUGUGGCCUUUGCCCUCAAGAAUCUUCCAGUCCAGGAGUGACAAGUAACAUGCAUGGACGUGGCUGUAAUAGCACAUGGAUGCUGGAUGAGCAUUGCCACCAAAGUCACGGCAGGACUUCAGACAGCUCUCAGGGAAGUCUUUUUAGAGGAGAUAGUGGAUAAAUAAGUUAUGGCGCAGAGAUCCCAAAACACAGUAGUCUAUAUAAGAUCAAUCUUAGGAUAUAAUUUUAUUUCCCUCUCCCAUAACAGUGCAGACGCAGGUGGCACUAGUCUGGUGGGACAGCUCAGCUCCGCAGGAUCAUUCAGGGACACAGUUUUGCUCUAUGCUGUUGCUUUGCUCCACUGUCCUGUUGGGUAUUAUCUUCAUCUGUAAGGUUAAAUCUUGGUCAUUGCUGCAUUGACCUCCCACCUUGUGGCAAGGGCGAAGGGAGGAUGGAGGAACAAACAGAUGCUUUAAGGCACAGACCCAGAGUGGCUCACCUAUUCUGUUGGCCAGAACUUGGCCAUUUGGCCACAUUUAAUUACAAAGCAGGUUGGGAAAUGUAGUCUAUAGCCAAGUAACCAAGUGUCCAGCUAAAAGUUCCAUGUGGAAGAAAGAGAUAAUGGGGGAAUAUUAUCUCUAUCUCAAUGACUUGGGCCUUGGCAAAUGGACAGGAUAUUGUGGGGUAGGAAUUGGAGGGGGAGGGCAUUCCAGGUGGAGAAAACGGCAGAGGUGCGGGAAGGUGAAUGAUGGAUUUGGAGAAAGUGAAGAUCCAGCAUACCUGGGGUGUGGGAUUUAUGUAGAGGAGCCUGUGACCCACGUUUGGGUAGAGACGGGGCAGGCUUCAUCUCUUUAAUAGGCUGCUCAGUCUUCCCAUAGAAUAUGGUCCUUGUCACCUGCCAUCCAAAAACGAAUCUUCUUUAAUCAACCACACAGGAUGUGGCCACCAUCCGCCCAACUCAGGAAAUUUAAUUUUGAACUGACAGCGAUCUAGAUUCUAUCACAAGUUGGCUCCCCAAGGCUGUGUUACUUUCAACAGUGAUUUUCUUUUUAACACCUUUAUUGCAUUAUAAUUGCUCUACAAUAGUGUGUUAGUUUCUGCUUUAUAACAAAGUGAAUCAGCCAUACAUAUACAUAUAUCCCCAAAUCUCCUCCCUCUUGCGUCUCCCACCCUCCCUCUCCCACCCCUCUAGCUGGUCACAAAGCACCGAGCUGAUCUCCCUGUGCUAUGUGGCUGCUUCCCACUAGCUAUAUAUUUUACAUUUGGUAGUGUAUAUAUGUUCAUGCCACUCUCCCACUUCCUCCCAGCUUACCAUUCCCCCUCCCUGUGUCCUCAAGUCCAUUCUCUAUGUCUGUGUCUUUAUUCCUGUCCUGUCCCUAGGUUCAUCAGAACCUUUUUUUUUUUUUUUUUAGAUUCCAUAUAUAUGUGUUAGCAUACAGUAUUUGUUUUUCUUUCUGACUUACUUUACUCUGUAUGACAGACUCUAGGUCCAUCCACCUCACUACAAAUAACUCAAUUUCGUUUCUUUUUAUGGAUGAAUAAUAUGCCAUUGCAUAUAUGUGCCACAUUUUCUUUAUCCAUUCCUCUGUCGAUGGACACUUAGGUUGCUUCCAUGUCCUGACUAUUGUAAAAAGUGCUGCAAUGAAUAUUAUGGUACAUGAGUCUUUUUGAAUUACGGUUUUCUCAGGGUGUAUGCCCAGUAGUGGGAUUGCUGGGUCAUAUAGUAGUUCUAUUUUUAGUUUUUUAAGGAAUCUCCAUACUGUUCUCCGUAGUGGCUGUAUCAAUUUACAUUCCCACCAACAGUGCAAGAAGUUUCCCUUUUCUCCACACCCUCUCCAGCAUUUAUUGUUUGUAGAUUUUUUGAUGAUGGCCAUUCUGACUGGUGUGAGGUGAUACUUCACUUUAGUUUUGUUUUGCAUUUCUUAAUGAUUAGUGAUGAUGAGCAUCCUUUCAUGUGUUUGUUGGCAAUCUGUAUAUCUUCUUUGGAGAAAUGUCUGUUUAGGUCUUCUGCCCAUUUUUGGAUUGGGUUGUUUGUUUUUUUGAUAUUGAGCUGCAUGAGCUGCUUGUAAAUUUUGGAGAUUAAUCCUUUGUCUGUUGCUUCAUUUGCAAAUAUUUUCUCCCAUUCUAAGGGUUGUCUUUUCAUCUUGUUUAUGGUUUCCUUUGCUGUGCAAAAGGUUUUCAGUUUCAUUAGGUCCCAUUUGUUUAUUUUAGUUUUUAUUUCCAUUUCUCUAGGAGGUGGGUCAAAAAGGAUCUUGCUGUGAUUUAUGUCAUAGAGUGUUCUGCCUAUGUUUUCCUCUAAGAGUUUUAUAGUGUUUGGCCUUAUAUUUAGGUCUUUAAUCCAUUUUGAGUUUAUUUUUGUGUAUGGUGUUAUGGAGUGUUCUAAUUUCAUUCUUUUACAUUUAGCUGUCCAGUUUUCCCGGCACCACUUAUUGAAGAGGCUGUCUUUUCUCCACUGCAUAUUCUUGCAGCCUUUAUCAAAAAUGAGGUGACCAUAUGUGCAUGGGUUUAUCUCUGGGCUUUCUAUCCUAUUCAAUUGAUCUAUAUUUCUGUUGUUGUGCCAGUACCAUACUAUCUUGAUUACUGUAGCUUUGUAGUAUAGUCUGAAGUCCAAGAGCCUGAUUCCCCCAGCUCCGUUUUUCUUUCUCUAGAUGGCUUUGGCUAUUCAGGCUAUUGUAUUUCCAUACAAGUUGUGAAUUUUUUUGUUCUAGUUCUGUGAAAAAUUUCAUUGGUAGUUUGAUAGGGAUUGCAUUGAAUCUGUAGAUUGCUCUGGGUAGUAGAGUCAUUUUCACAAUGUUAAUUCUUCCAAUCCAAGAACAUGGUAUAUCUCUCCAUCUAUUUGUAUCAUCCUUAAUUUCUUUCAUCAGUGUCUUAUAGUUUUAUGCAUACAGGUCUUUUGUCUCCUUAGGUAGGUUUAUUCCUAGGUAUUUUAUUCUUUUUGUUGCAGUGGUACAUGGGAGUGUUUCCUUAAUUUCUCUUUCAUAUUUUUCAUCAUUAGUGUAUAGUAAUGCAAGAGAUUUCUGUGCAUUAAUUUUGUAUCCUGCUACUUUACUGAAUUCAUUGAUUAGCUCUAGUAGUUUUCUGGUAGCAUCUUUAGGAUUCUCUAUGUAUAGUAUCAUGUCAUCUGCAAACAGUGAGAGCUUUACUUCUUCUUUUCCUAUUUGGAUUCCUUUUAUUUCUUUUUCUUCUCUGAUUGCUGUGGCUAAAACUUCCAGAACUAUGUUGAAUAAUAGUGGUGAGAGUGGACAACCUUGUCUUGUUCCUGAUCUUAGUGGAAAUGGUUUCAGUUUUUCAUCAUUGAGAAUGACGUUGGCUGUGGGUUUGUCAUAUAUGGUCUUUAUUAUGUUGAGGUAAGUUCCCUCUAUACCUACUUUCUGGAGGGUUUUUAUCCUAAAUGGGUGUUGAAUUUUGUUGAAAGCUUUUUCUGCAUCUAUUGAGAUGAUCAUAUGGUUUUUAUCCUUCAAUUUGUUAAUAUAGUGUAUCACAUUGAUUGAUUUGCAUAUAUUGAAGAAUCCUUGCAUUCCUGGGAUAAACUCUUGAUCAUGGUGUAUGAUCCUUUUAAUAUGCUGUUGGAUUCUGUUUGCUAGUAUUUUGUUGAGGAUUUUUGCAUCUAUGUUCAUCAGUAAUAUUGGCCUGUAGUUUUCUUUUUUUGUGACAUCUUUUUCUGGUUUUGGUAUCAGGGUGAUGGUGGCCUCGUAGAAUGAGUUUGGGAGUGUUCCUCCCUCUGCUAUAUUUUGGAAGAGUUUGAGAAGGAUAGGUGUUAGCUCUUCUCUAAAUGUUUGAUAGAAUUCGCCUGUGAAGCCAUCUGGUCCUGGGCUUUUGUUUGUUGGAAGAUUUUUAAUCACAGUCUCAAUUUCAGUGCUUGUGAUUGGUCUGUUUAUAUUUUCUAUUUCUUCCUGGUUCAGUCUCGGGGGUUGUGCUUUUCUAAGAAUUUGUCCAUUUCUUCCAGGUUCUCCAUUUUAUUGGCAUAUAGUUGCUUGUAGUAAUCGCUCAUGAUCCUUUGUAUUUCUGCAGUGUCAGUUGUUACUUCUCCUUUUUUCGUUUCUAAUUCUAUUGAUCUGAGUCUUCUCCCUUUUUUUCUUGAUGAGUCUGGCUAAUGGUUUAUCAAUUUUGUUUAUCUUCUCAAAGAACCAGGUUUUAGUUUUAUUGAUCUUUGCUAUUGUUUCCUUCAUUUCUUUUUCAUUUAUUUCUGAUCUGCUCUUUAUGAUUUCUUUCCUUCUGCUAACUUUGGGUUUGUUUUUUUGUUCUUCUUUCUCUAAUUGCUUUAGGUGUAAGGUUAAGUUGGUUAUUUGAGAUUUUUCUUGUUUCUUGAGGUAGGACUGUAUUGCUAUAUAUUUCCCUCUUAGAACUGCUCUUGUUGCAUUCCAUAGGUUUAGGGUUGUCGUGUUUGCAUUGUCAUUUGUUUCUAGGUAUUUUUGGAUUUCCUGUUUGAUUUCUCCAGUGAUCUCUUGGUUAUUUAGUAGUGUAUUGUUUAGCCACCAUGUGUUUGUAUUUUUUACAGAUUAUUUCCUGUAAUUUAUAUCUAGUCUCCUAGCGUUGUGGUCAGAAAAGAUACCUGAUAUGAUUUCAAUUUUCUUAAAUUUACCACGGCUUGAUUUGUGACCCAAGAUGUGAGCUAUCCUGGAGGGUGUUUCAUGAGCACUUGAGAAGAAACUGUAUUCUGUUGUUUUUGGAUGGAAUGUCCUAUAAAUAUCAAUUAAAUCCAUCUGUUUAAUGCGUCAUUUAAAGCUUGUGUUUCUUUAUUUAUUUUCAUUUUGGAUGAUCUGUCCAUUGGUGAAAGUGGGGUGUUAAAGUCCCCUACUAUGAAUGUGUUACUGUCGAUUUCCCCUUUUGUGGCUGUUAGCAUUUGCCUUAUGUAUUGAGGUGCUCCUAUGUUGGGUGCAUAAAUAUUUACAAUUGUUAUAUCUUCUUCUUGGCUUGAUCCCUUGAUCAUUAUGUAGUGUCCUUGUUUGUCUCUUGUAAUAGUCUUUAUUUUAAGUCUAUUUUGUCUGAUAUGAGAAUUGCUACUCCAGCUUUCUUUUGAUUCCCAUUUGCAUGGAAUAUCUUUUUCCAUUCCCUCACUUUCAGUCUGCAUGUGCCCUAGUUCUGAAGUGGGUCUCCUGUAAACACCAUAUAUACGGGUCUUCUUUUUGUACCCAUUCAGCCAGUCUAUGUCUUUUGGUUGGAGCUUUUAAUCCAUUUACUCAACAGUGAUUUCUGUAUCAAAUACUGACUGCCAUUUAAUACAAGUUCUGUAAAGUACCCUGUUAGCCCAGUGCCUAGCAAAAACCUUCACUGUGUUGGAUUUUGUGUUAAGCCCUUGGAAGAAAUGGCCACAUGAAGAAACUUUGAUAUGUUUCAAUAAAAUGUUAAGGGUAUUGCUUACUAUUUUGCUCACUGAAUAAUAUGGUAUUUUGCUUUGUAUAAGAAUCAACCAAUUAUAUGUCAAUUAUAUAUAUAUGUCAAUAAAGCUGGAAGGAAAAAGCUUCAAAAAUUAUAAAUGUAUUUAUAGAGACCCUAUGUACAUAUCACAGACCAUAUUUGGGAUUCUUCAUUAAGUUUUUACAUUGGUUUUUGGAUUCAGAACAUAUGUAUUUUAAUAAUAAUAUUAGUGCUUUAGCUCAUAUGUUGUCUUUUUGACUUGCUUUUCCAAAAUGGCCAUGUUGCCUUUCAGAAUUUUCAUGAUGUCUGCUGGAUUUCCAUGUGAUUUACUGAACAAAGGAACAUUUUUUUCAGGCAUAGAAAUCUCUUUCUGCAAUAUGGAAUGCUAAAAACAAACAAAUAAACAACGUAUUUAUGAAUAAAAAAAGAAUCAACCAGAUAUAUCUAUUAAUAUCAUGCUGCUCUGUCCUUGGCAUUCAACACUUCAACAAAUGUUGAUUAAGGCACUAUUGGCAGGCCCUGUGCCAGGUACUGGAAAUACAGAGAGAAGAGACACAGUCCCAAACUUCAAGGAGCUCACAGUCUGGGGCAGGGUGUAGGGGUGUGUGACAUGUGGAGCAGAUAGAUAAGUAAUAGGCAUUUAUGAUAUAAUGUGUGUUGUGAGAGACAAAGGGCAAGAUGCUAUGGGAGCUUGGAGAGGGAAGGUUGAAGAAGGCCUUCUGAAGGAGCUGAGUCUUCAAGGUUGAGGAAGGGUUAAUAAUGUGAGGAAUGGCUAGAAGAAUGCUCCCAGCAAAGGGAACAGAAUAUGCAAACACACGGAGGAAUGAAAGAGGGCGGGGCAGAGGUGGCUGGGAACUCAAGCAGCUACACAGGGCUCUGGUUCAGGGGAUGGUGGGAGCAUGGCUGGAGUGGUAGCUGGGGCUGGUCACAUGGGCCUUGCAGCCACCCCGAGGAGGAUGGUCUUUGGCCCAAAGGGUCUGCGCGCGUGAUUAGAUGCGUAUCUUAGAAAUGUCAGCUGUGUCAACAUAAACUGGGCAGGGAAGGGACAAAGAAGGGAACAUGUUUCAUCAUUUCAGCUGAGAAAUGAUGUGCCUUUAAAUAUGUGACGACAAGGUGGACAUAAAGAGGUGGAGAGAAAUUCGAGGUAUAUGAAGGAAGAAGGACGGAUAACAAUUGGUGAAUGACUUGGGGGUAAAGGAGAGACGCCUGUCAGAUGUUGGAUUGGGUGGCUACUCACGCAGCUGAAGGUUACAAGACAAGGAACAGGUGAGGCAUGGGGGAUGCAGAGUCUGACCGUGGAAACAUUGAGAUAUGGGUCAGGUGGUCAGAUGUGCAGGAGGAAGAGAGACUUAGGAGUUACCAAUGUGCAUGUGCUGGUUAAAGACAGGAGUGUGUUCAAACCUGGUGAACGGGGGAUGAUGCACCUGCUGUGUUGUCACACAUUUUAUUCAGUAAGAAAAAAGAAAAAAAGCAGCUUAUGGAAGGCCUACUGUGGGCCUGGAACACAUGGUGGCUAAACAAUACACUACUAAAUAACCAAGAGAUCACUGGAGAAAUCAAACAGGAAAUCCAAAAAUACCUAGAAACAAAUGACAAUGCAAACACGACAACCCUAAACCUAUGGAAUGCAACAAGAGCAGUUCUAAGAGGGAAAUAUAUAGCAAUACAGUCCUACCUCAAGAAACAAGAAAAAUCUCAAAUAACCAACUUAACCUUACACCUAAAGCAAUUAGAGAAAGAAGAACAAAAAAAAAAAAACCCAAAGUUAGCAGAAGGAAAGAAAUCAUAAA